CCCUUAGAUGUCCUGGGCCGCACGCGCGUUACACUGAUGCAUUCAACGAGCUUAUAACCUUGGCCGAGAGGCCUGGGCAAUCUUGUUAACGUGCAUCGUGAUAGGGAUAGAUUAUUGAAAUUAUUAAUCUUGAACGAGGAAUUCCUAGUAAACGCAGAUCAUCAAUCUGCAUUGAUUACGUCCCUGCCCUUUGUACACACCGCCCGUCGCACCUACCGAUUGGAUGGUCCGGUGAAGCCUCGGGAUUGUGGUUCUUGCCGCUUUAUUGUGGCGCGACCGCGAGAACUUGUCUAAACCUGAUCAUCGAGAGGAAGGUGAAGUCGUAACA
rnacentral:rRNA from 1 species